AACGAACGCUGGCGGCAGGCUUAACACAUGCAAGUCGAGCGCCCCGCAAGGGGCGCGGCAGACGGGUGAGUAACGCGUGGGAAUCUACCCAUCUCUACGGAAUAACGCAUGGAAACGUGUGCUAAUACCGUAUACGUCCUUCGGGAGAAAGAUUUAUCGGAGAUGGAUGAGCCCGCGUUGGAUUAGCUAGUUGGUGGGGUAUAGGCCUACCAAGGCGACGAUCCAUAGCUGGUUUGAGAGGAUGACCAGCCACACUGGGACUGAGACACGGCCGAGACUCCUACGGGAGGCAGCAGUGGGGAAUAUUGGACAAUGGUCGCAAGCCUGAGCCAGCCAUGCCGCGUGAGUGAUGAAGGCCCUAGGGUUGUAAAGCUCUUUCACCGGUGAAGAUAAUGACGGUAACCGGAGAAGAAGCCCCGGCUAACUUCGUGCCAGCCGCCGCGGUAAAAC
rnacentral:rRNA from 1 species